rnacentral:misc_RNA from 1 species
UUUUCUGAGCCACUGCUGCUUCGGCCAUCGCAGCCGCCGGCUCUCCUCCGGCGUGGCGUGGCCCCAUCCUUCUCCCCAUCGAGGCGCUCUCCAAAAAAAAAGCAGGAGACGCCAAGGCGCGCUGCCGAGUUGCUUCUUUUCUCAAGGGCCGCACCACAAGACUUCAUGCAGUCUUGCGCGGUGAUCGGCUGUGGCCCAGCUGGAAUGGCGGCCAGUACGGUGCUGCGGCAGAGCGGGUUGCUCGUCACAUGCUUCGAUCUUGCCCCCGAGCCGGGCGGCAUCUGGGCCAGCAACGCACGCGACAUCUUCUCCAGCCGCGGAUGCGUCUCUCCCAUUUACCCGUCUAUGCGCUGCGUGCUGCCCAAGGAGCUGAUGGCGUUCAGUGACGUCCGCUUCGACUACGCCGUCGCGCAGUUCCCGCACCAUACGGCGGUGCGGCACUACCUGCACCAAUACGCUGCACAGAAGGGAGUACGGUGUCUCACGCGGUUCAACACGAAGGUGGAGUCCGCCCGCUUCGACUCGGUAGACCGCAUGUGGAAGAUCAUAUCUGUGAAUAUUGUGAGCGGCGAUGUCAUGGAGUGGUCCUUCGACAAGGUGUGCGUGUGUACCGGGCAGACGCAGGAAGUGCGCUUCCCCGCCGGAAUGCAGGAGGCACUGGAGGGGUAUGUGCGCGAGGGUGGAGAGGUGCAUCACGCUGCGCACGUGAAGGACUUCCGUUCGUUUCACAAGAAGCGCGUCGUCGUCGUCGGCAACGGCGUCUCCGCUUACGACUACUGCGUUGAACUAAAGCGGAUGGGGGCAGAGGUGUACCAGAGCAUCACCGCACCGGCCCCCUCCUCGGCAUCAUCUGGUCCUCAGACAGGCUUCGCGUGCUCCUCGCUGACCGCCGAGCUCUGGAAGGACAUGGUGGUGGCGCCGUGGGGACGCGGGGGGGCGACAAAGGAGGUGUCGGAUGUGCGGGUGGCCGCCGACGCCGUCACGCGCAUCGCCGGCCUCGCGGCUCGCCUCCCGUGGCUGCACAACGAUGCGCACGCGGCAAAGGAUGUGGUGCGCAAGUGGCUGCGGUACCGCAAUACGCGGCUGGAGGUUAUCCCAGCGGUGGGGCUGCCGCUUGACAACGACGGGCGCGGGCUGCGCUUUGCUGCCGCACCGUCGGUGCGGCGGAGCACUGCGGACAUUGUGGCGGAGGCGAAAGAGCGCGUCGGUCACCUCGACGUGUCGUCGGCCGCGCCGUCUGCGGAGGUGUUUGUCGACAAGGUCGACGCUGUCAUCUGCGCUACAGGGUACAACCGCCGAUACCCUUUUCUGCACCCCAACGUGCGCCGCGUGCUGGAAGAGGAUCAGCUUCUGCUCACUUCGUCUAACUCAUCAUCUCCGUUCAGCACCUCGAGUGACGCGGCAGGCGGUCCUCCAGCGGCCAGCCGUCAUGGGCUUUACCUGGGGACACUUUGGUGCGCCGAGCCUUCGUUGGCGCUGGUGGGCUAUCAAAAGGACCUGCUGCCCCCCUUUCUGUUGUUUGAGGCACAGGCGCGAUUCAUCGCGUACGCUUUCACUCAGCGUAUGCCGAUCCCCGACGGAGCGGAGGAAAUGCGCGCGAAGGAGGACGCUUUAGUGAAGGCGAACCCCGCCCUGGCUGACCUGUACAGCGGAGACGGGGUGGGGCUGCACUCGGCGGCCUACUUCAACGUCCUCCAGCACGAGCUGGGCGUGAGCUCCCGCGACACAUACACCUCCAAGGUGCUGCAGCGACACAAGUGGCUUCUGUGCUCCACACUGGUGCGCAUUUACCACAAGUGCCGCUCCAUGGCGCCCCUCAAGCGCAAAGAGCAGCACCUGCUCUUUAGUAACAAGAUUUAGCGAUGUGGCGAGGUGGGCCCGUCGGGUGGCUGGGUGUGGGGAGCGCAGCAAGACGCAGCCGGAGGGGCCUUGAUGGCACAUGCAAGGCAACGGGUGGGGCUGGAUAGAGAGACAGCAGCACAUCUGCACAUCUGCGUGAGUGAGCCUCUCGGCUUUGUGAUGCUUUGCGGAGCGCGCCCUCACAGCGCCCCCUCUCGCUGUUUUGAAGCUCUCUUUUUCUCUGUUUGCAUCCGCCUUCUCCUCCUCCGGUCGUUCGGAUGUUUGUAUAUGUGUUGCUUCUCGCCGUUACCGCCUGCGCUGUGGUCGUAGUUUGUUUCUCUGCUGUUUGGCAGCGGCCAUGCACAGACUCCGCCAGACGUUUCGGGCGUGUCACUCCCGCCUUUUCUUUGGCGUCACCCCGGCAGCCGAAAAAGCGCAGUCGCGCGCCCACGCACGUACACAC